rnacentral:rRNA from 4 species
UGCAGUCGAGCGAACGGAUAAGGAGCUUGCUCCUUUGAAGUUAGCGGCGGACGGGUGAGUAACACGUGGGUAACCUACCUAUAAGACUGGGAUAACUUCGGGAAACCGGAGCUAAUACCGGAUAACAUUUAGAACCGCAUGGUUCUAAAGUGAAAGAUGGUUUUGCUAUCACUUAUAGAUGGACCCGCGCCGUAUUAGCUAGUUGGUAAGGUAACGGCUUACCAAGGCGACGAUACGUAGCCGACCUGAGAGGGUGAUCGGCCACACUGGAACUGAGACACGGUCCAGACUCCUACGGGAGGCAGCAGUAGGGAAUCUUCCGCAAUGGGCGAAAGCCUGACGGAGCAACGCCGCGUGAGUGAUGAAGGGUUUCGGCUCGUAAAACUCUGUUAUUAGGGAAGAACAAAUGUGUAAGUAACUGUGCACAUCUUGACGGUACCUAAUCAGAAAGCCACGGCUAACUACGUGCCAGCAGCCGCGGUAAUACGUAGGUGGCAAGCGUUAUCCGGAAUUAUUGGGCGUAAAGCGCGCGUAGGCGGUUUCUUAAGUCUGAUGUGAAAGCCCACGGCUCAACCGUGGAGGGUCAUUGGAAACUGGGAAACUUGAGUGCAGAAGAGGAAAGUGGAAUUCCAUGUGUAGCGGUGAAAUGCGCAGAGAUAUGGAGGAACACCAGUGGCGAAGGCGACUUUCUGGUCUGUAACUGACGCUGAUGUGCGAAAGCGUGGGGAUCAAACAGGAUUAGAUACCCUGGUAGUCCACGCCGUAACGAUGAGUGCUAAGUGUUA